UACAUGCCGCCUAUAGUCUCGCUUGGUUGCAUUCGAAAAAGCUCAAAAUCAUGCAAUAAAAUGUUAACUUUCGAGUCUUUGACUCUACUAGUUCCCUCGUGCGUGAUUUCAAGUGUUCGCCAAAUGUCAAAAGUCGUUUCGCACGUAGAAAUCCGAUUGAACUCAUUUUUGUCCAAAGCACAAAAUAAGGCAUUCAUAGCCUUUGCGUUUAAAGAAAAAUAUUUCUUCUCCAAAUCCGACCAUUCGUUCAUCGGUUUAGAGGGAAGUUGAAAACCGUUUUCAAUGAUAUUCCAUAAAUCCAAAUUCAAAGAAAUCAAGAAAACUCUCAUUCGAGUUUUCCAAUAAGUGUAGUCCAAUCCGUUAAACAAC
rnacentral:lncRNA from 1 species